AUGUCUAUUGUCUCGAGAUACCUGUCGGCUGUUCUGAGCACAUGCUUCCAGGGAAUCCAGGCAUGAAAUGCUGAGAGAACAUAGAGCACACAAACCACAUUUUGGAUAACAUUUUACCCACACAAAUGAAAUUAGUGAAGGAGAGUCGCGUGUCGCCUGGAUGAACGCUGUUCUGCUCCUGAACACAACAACAACCCUUAAAGAAUUACCAGGGUACCAUAGGUAUGCACUACAGCUUCUGUCUGCUGGCCACACAUCCCUUUGAGUGCUCCAUCAUCAUAAUCAAUGGCAGGUUGAGCCGGCUGGGGUUUGAAGACCUUUACACAAACACUGUUCGUUUUACUUCUCCACGGCCAUGGAGCUCAGAAGAAAGGCUGCCAUCCUGUUGCCCUGUUCAAGCACUGGUGCAGAGUUGAGGUUGUCUGUGAUAAUCUUAUCGAGCUAUGAUGGCGAGCGGACAGGGACAAAAGAGGCAGAGGCACGAUGAAGACACAACACGGCCUCCGGUCGCCUCCUCAGCGCUGACUGUGAUAAAUGAGUCUGGAAAAAUGUGCAGCUUCACAGCAAACGCACUCACGGCUGCAACUUGAGGAGGACUUCAGCUAUUUUUAGAGAGCUUUUCUCCACUCUUUCUCUUACUCUUCUCGCACUUCUCUAGAGUGUUUAUCACCAGGUGAGGAAGCAGGUUCGGUCGCAGACAGUCGCUCAGCUAACCUGGGAAAAAGCUCUCUUUCACACACUGAACAUAAACUAAUUUUGGGCUCACUUGAGAGAAUUGUUUCCUUCGUUAGGGAAGCUAAAGUGUGGUGUUCAUCUCCCUCUGAUUGCACUUUGGAGGUGCUUGAGGGGCCCAGACUCCCAUUAGCCUGAUGAGCUUACUCUGCUAACACAGCUUUAUGGGACAAAUUGCAUACAUAUGUGGGUGGCUGGAUUCAUAUAUUGGACUUCAAUGGUAUUACAGGAAAGAAAAUCAGUGUACAGUAUUCUUAGAAGAGGAAAUGAGUUCUGAGCUGACUUGUUCUUUCUUAUCUUUGAGCAAUAGAUGUUAAAGAAGGUAGGAUUGAUUUACAGUAGCUUCCCUUCAAGCUUAUGAAACCACAAUCAAAUAAAGGAAUAUUGUAUGUUCAACACAAGCUCAAUUGACAGCGCUUGUGGCAUAAUACUGAUUGCCACAAAAACACUCUCCAAAAAUCUGGAUGACCGUGAGGCACUUUCAGUGGAAGUGAAUGGGUCCAAUCCAUAAAUGUCAAUAGUGUAGCCACAAAAUGUUAAGAAUAUUCCUGUAAACAUGAUUUUAAUGUGAAUAAAUAACUUACUAACCUUAUUAUUUAUGUGCAAAGUUAUAUACAAUUUAUAAAACCUUGUUGCCAACACAACAUAAAACCUCAUAUUAAGGAUGACUGUAAGGAUGUGUGAUAUUUCUCUGGUUAAUUACACUGUCAAAACUGUUGAUUGAUCUAAACUUGUAUUAAACCUGUAAUAUCCCUUUAUAUAUAUCCUUAUAUAACAAAUACAUUAAAAGAAUAAGCAGAAAUCA